AACGAACGCUGGCGGCAUGCCUAACACAUGCAAGUCGAACGAGACCUUCGGGUCUAGUGGCGCACGGGUGCGUAACGCGUGGGAACCUGCCCUUAGGUUCGGAAUAACUCCCCGAAGGGGGUGCUAAUACCGGAUAAUGUCUUCGGACCAAAGAUUUAUCGCCUUUGGAUGGGCCCGCGUUGGAUUAGCUAGUUGGUAGGGUAAAAGCCUGCCAAGGCGACGAUCCAUAGCUGGUCUGAGAGGAUGAUCAGCCACACUGGGACUGAGACACGGCCCAGACUCCUACGGGAGGGAGCAGUGGGGAAUAUUGGACAAGGGGCGAAAGCCUGAUCCAGCAAUGCCGCGUGAGUGAUGAAGGCCUUAGGGUUGUAAAGCUCUUUUACCCGGGAUGAUAAUGACAGUACCGGGAGAAUAAGCUCCGGCUAACUCCGUG
rnacentral:rRNA from 1 species